rnacentral:misc_RNA from 1 species
CUUCGGAUAAUGGCGGCUUGCCUUGCAUUUUAGCUUGGUUGGUGGCUGUUAGUCGGGUGGUCUCGGGGAUGUCUACCGUAAAGGUGCAUGAGUGGUGUUUGGUUUGUUACGGGUGGUUGGCUCUUUGCUUGCGCAACAACUUCCACCCUGCAUACCUCUUCAGUUUUGUGUCAACGCGUGUAUCGCGUUAACGCAAUGUGGGUUUCUUGUGUUGCAUGCCUAACCGAUGGUAUCGUUUGACGAACAUGUAUCUAUUUUCGUCUUGUGUCGCACUUGCGAUGCGGGAUGAACCUUAAAGCAGCCUUUCUGAUCCACUCUUUUGAUUGCACACGCAUCGAUUUUGUGGCCCAUUGAGUGCUGCCCGGACUCAUCGAUAUGGAACCUCCAGUGGGCAUGGGAUCUUUUACUAGCUCCUUGUUUGCCCUAGUUAAGCUUUUCAAAUACGAUUCCCUAUCGCGUGUAAACGUGGUAGGCUAUAUCGGAUAUGAAUG